CAGGUUUGAGUGGCCGUUUCUUUGUCACCACCCUGCCAACCAUUUACCAUGCCAAAGAAGGUGUUUUUCGGAAAUAUCACGGAGCGAGGAUGCUGGAGGAUUUCCAGAGUUUCAUUAAGGAGAAGAAGUGGGAGGCAGUCGAAUCGAUUAGCGGGUGGAAAUCUCCAUCUUCUGUCGUAAUGUCUGGGAUGGCCAGUCUUUUCCGACUCUCUGUCUGGAUCAGGAGAUUGGACUCUGCAAUCCCAGGUACAGACUGUACAAUGGACAAAACCGCAGAGAGAGAGAGAGAGAGAGAGAAAGAAAGAACAACUAGCCCAUCUCUCGGAGCUCUUUAAUCUCUUCAACUUCUCUUUGAUUUAAUGCUCCAGAUCAAGUGAAUGUGUUAUGAAAAUCAAUGCGGUUUGGAUGCCCCAGGAGCUUUGGCUGAAGGGAUGAUAUUGAAGAAGCACACUCUGGCUAAUUCCACAGCUGGGAUUCUAAAUUGGCUUUCUUAAGAUCUGCCAAUAGCAUGGAUUUUUAAUUUUUUAAGAGAACGAGCAUGCAUUUGAAAUGCACAAGUUGAAACAGGAAAUCUUUUUGAAUUUAAUUUGCGGAUGGAAUAAUUGAUAGGCAGCUUUUCCUCCACACAUUGUGUGCUUCUUUCGGUGUCCUCUCUCCCCUGUCUGGUUUCUUAAAGCUUCUGACUUUUCUUUAAACGGAAACAUGAAUAGGAACAAGAAUAGUCCAUUCGGCCCUUUGAGCUUGCUGUGCCAUUCAAUACGAUCACAGCUGAUUGACCAACUCUGUACCUUUUUUGAUCCCUUUAGCUUUAAGAACUGUAUCUAACUCCUUCUUGAA